rnacentral:rRNA from 1 species
UGGAGCUGAAAUCAGUCGAAGAUACCAGCUGGCUGCAACUGUUUAUUAAAAACACAGCACUGUGCAAACACGAAAGUGGACGUAUACGGUGUGACGCCUGCCCGGUGCCGGAAGGUUAAUUGAUGGGGUUAGCGGUAACGCGAAGCUCUUGAUCGAAGCCCCGGUAAACGGCGGCCGUAACUAUAACGGUCCUAAGGUAGCGAAAUUCCUUGUCGGGUAAGUUCCGACCUGCACGAAUGGCGUAAUGAUGGCCAGGCUGUCUCCACCCGAGACUCAGUGAAAUUGAACUCGCUGUGAAGAUGCAGUGUACCCGCGGCAAGACGGAAAGACCCCGUGAACCUUUACUAUAGCUUGACACUGAACAUUGAGCCUUGAUGUGUAGGAUAGGUGGGAGGCUUAGAAGUGUGGACGCCAGUCUGCAUGGAGCCGACCUUGAAAUACCACCCUUUAAUGUUUGAUGUUCUAACGUGGACCCGUAAUCCGGGUUGCGGACAGUGUCUGGUGGGUAGUUUGACUGGGGCGGUCUCCUCCUAAAGAGUAACGGAGGAGCACGAAGGUUGGCUAAUCCUGGUCGGACAUCAGGAGGUUAGUGCAAUGGCAUAAGCCAGCUUGACUGCGAGCGUGACGGCGCGAGCAGGUGCGAAAGCAGGUCAUAGUGAUCCGGUGGUUCUGAAUGGAAGGGCCAUCGCUCAACGGAUAAAAGGUACUCCGGGGAUAACAGGCUGAUACCGCCCAAGAGUUCAUAUCGACGGCGGUGUUUGGCACCUCGAUGUCGGCUCAUCACAUCCUGGGGCUGAAGUAGGUCCCAAGGGUAUGGCUGUUCGCCAUUUAAAGUGGUACGCGAGCUGGGUUUAGAACGUCGUGAGACAGUUCGGUCCCUAUCUGCCGUGGGCGCUGGAGAACUGAGGGGGGCUGCUCCUAGUACGAGAGGACCGGAGUGGACGCAUCACUGGUGUUCGGGUUGUCAUGCCAAUGGCACUGCCCGGUAGCUAAAUGCGGAAGAGAUAAGUGCUGAAAGCAUCUAAGCACGAAACUUGCCCCGAGAUGAGUUCUCCCUGACUCCUUGAGAGUCCUGAAGGAACGUUGAAGACGACGACGUUGAUAGGCCGGGUGUGUAAGCGCAGCGAUGCGUUGAGCUAACCGGUACUAAUGAACCGUGAGGCUUAACCUUACAACGCCGAAG